rnacentral:ncRNA from 1 species
AUACAUUCAAUGAUGGGAAGAGUAAGUUUGGGAUAUGUUCAUCAGAGAGUUGGCGUUUGCUGAGAGCCAAUGUUCAGACCUGAACCGAAGAUCCUCCUGGAGAAGUGAAGCUGAAACGUCAUUUGAUGUGUGUAAGCUGAACCGUUGCGCCGAACGUUACAUCGGCUCCAUACUUCAUUACAGUAUGGACUUGAGGAGUCGUCAUGCUUCAUGAGGCUUACUGAGUAUUUCAGUAAGUAUCAGGUUCGGACGGAAUUAGGGUGGUUACGCGAGCAAAAGUCUCGUCCCUUUG